rnacentral:rRNA from 1 species
GAUGAACGCUGGCGGCGUGCCUAAUACAUGCAAGUCGAGCGAAUGGAUUGAGAGCUUGCUCUCAAAAAGUUAGCGGCGGACGGGUGAGUAACACGUGGGUAACCUGCCCAUAAGACUGGGAUAACUCCGGGAAACCGGGGCUAAUACCGGAUAACAUUUUGAACUGCAUGGUUCGAAAUUGAAAGGCGGCUUCGGCUGUCACUUAUGGAUGGACCCGCGUCGCAUUAGCUAGUUGGUGAGGUAACGGCUCACCAAGGCAAAGAUGCGUAGCCGACCUGGGAGGGUGAUCGGCCACACUGGGACUGAGACACGGCCCAGACUCCUACGGGAGGCAGCAGUAGGGAAUCUUCCGCAAUGGAAGAAAGUCUGACGUAGCAACGCCGCGUGAGUGAUGAAGGCUUUCGGGUCGUAAAACUCUGUUGUUAGGGAAGAACAAGUGCUAGUUGAAUAAGCUGGCACCUUGACGGUACCUAACCAGAAAGCCACGGCUAACUACGUGCCAGCAGCCGCGGUAAAAC